rfam:Schistosoma mansoni strain Puerto Rico chromosome W, complete genome
AUCCAGCUGACGAGUCCCAAAUAGGAGGGAACAUGAGUCCUGGAU